rnacentral:lncRNA from 1 species
UUCACAUACUCGGAAAUCAAUCAAGUCCCAUAUUCUCAUCCUGUAUUGAUACAUUCAGCUACAAAACAAAAACCAAAAUACAAGAAGAAAAAGAAACUGGGUAUUUAAUAUUUUACCUAAUUGAAAACAACAGUAGGCAACUUCAGUCCAUGAGCUUCACGACUUCAAUAAGCAAAAUUUUUUGCAUCAACUGGAAAUCCAAAAACAUAUGCUUCCUCCAUCAUCCUCCCCCAAUUGAAAAAUAACAAAAUUCUGCAGAUAAAGUUCAAUAAAGAUAAAAUCAAAAUCAGAAUUCCAGAAAAAAGGAAUUAUCGUAUUGUCUCAUUAAUUGUCAUAUAUGUUGAGAGGGCGGAAAAGGAAAAUGGACAAAUUUUGCGAAAGACGAUCAAUAGAUAAGACAUAAAACGACGCUGUAUGAUUCUGAACCACGGACCUCGUAAACGUGUUUUAAGAAUCAGAAAAUUCGAUGGUAUUGGCCUGCUACGUAAUUUCGGAUGACAAAAAUCUUUCUACCAUAUCCACUCGUUAAGCAUAUUACUAACUUAGAUUGGACUAUUUUCGUGGACUCGACUCCAUGAUAUAAGAAUAG